rnacentral:rRNA from 1 species
CAGCACCUCAAGUGGUCAGGAUGAUUAUUGGGCCUAAAGCAUCCGUAGCCGGCGCUGUAAGUUUUCGGUUAAAUCUGUACGCUCAACGUACAGGCUGCCGGGAAUACUGCAGCGCUAGGGAGUGGGAGAGGUAGACGGUACUCGGUAGGAAGGGGUAAAAUCCUUUGAUCUAUUGAUGACCACCUGUGGCGAGGGCGGUCUACCAGAACACGUCCGACGGUGAGGGAUGAAAGCUGGGGAGCAAACCGGAUUAGAUACCCGAGUAGUCC